GCCUCCAUAGCUCAGAGGUUAGAGCACUGGUCUUGGAAACCAGGGGUCGUUAGUUCGAUUCUCACUGGGGGCU
rnacentral:tRNA from 1 species